ACGCUCGACACCUACUGGAGGCAGCAGUGGGGAAUAUUGCACAAUGGGGGAAACCCUGAUGCAGCGACGCCGCGUGAGCGAAGAAGUAUUUCGGUAUGUAUAGCUCUAUCAGCAGGGAAGAAACUGACGGUACCUGACUAAGAAGCACCGGCUAAAUACGUGCCAGCAGCCGCGGUAAUCUGAGCGGGCUGGCAAGGC
rnacentral:rRNA from 1 species